rnacentral:rRNA from 1 species
AUGAACGUUUGUCGGCGCGCCUAACACAUUAGCAUAGUCGAGCGAGAAAGCUCCUUCGGGAUGUUAGUACAGCGGCGGACGGGUGAGUAUCGCGUGGGAAAUCUACCUUUUAGUGAGGAAUACCCUUGAGAAAUCGAGGUUAUAUACCGCAAUAAGUCCCCUUGGGGAGAAAGAUGGUCUCUUGCUGUCGCUAAAAGAUGAGCCUAGCGUACUAUUAGCUAGUUGGUAGGGGUAAAGGCCCUACCAAGGCGAAUGAUGGUUAGCCGGCCUGAGAGGGUGAUCGGCCACACUGGAACUUAGAUACGGUCCAGACUCCUACGGGACUGGCAGCAGUGGGGAAAUAUUUGCGCAAUGGGCGAAAGCCUGACGCAAGCGACGCCGCGUGGAGUAUGAAGGUCUUCGGAUUUUGUAAACUUCUGUUAAGUGGUGAAGAACAGACUUCGACCCUAAUUACCCGAUUCGGGGAUGACGGUACCAUUAGAGAAAGCACUGGCUAACUUCGUGCCAAGCAGCCUGCGUGUAAUACGAAGGGUGCUAACGUUAUUCGGAAUCAUUGGGCCGUAAUAAGGGUGUUGUAGACGGCGUCUUAAGUCAACUGUUAAAUCCUCCGGCUACCUAACCGGAGUCAUGCGGUAGAUAACUGAUGUGCUAGAGGGUGGAAGAGAUGAGAAGUGGAAUUCUCGGAGUAGCGGUAAAAAUGCGUAGAUUCUCGAGAGGAACUACAUCCGAUGGCGACAGGCAGCUUCUUGGUCCAUUUCUGACGUUGAGACACGAAAGCGUGGGAGAGCAAACAGGAUUAGAUACCCUGGUAGGUCCACAGCUAGUAAACGCUGCUACACUAGAUGUCGGAUCUGCCUUGGACAGAACCGGUAUCGUAGCUAACCGCGUUUUAAGUGAUCCGACCUGUGGGUAGUACGGUCGACAAGAUUAAAACUCAAAUGGAUAAUUGACGGGGGUCCGCACAAGCGGUUGGAACAUGUGGUUAUAAUUCGACACUACGCGAGGAACCUUAUCUGGGCUCGAAAUGUAGUGGCCCGCGGUUAGAAAUAUCGUUUUCUAGCAAUAGACCGCUAUAUAGGUUGCUGUCAUGGCUGUCGUCAGCUCGUGUCGUGUGAGAUGUUGGGUUAAGUCCCGCAACGAGCGCAACCCUUAUCUUCAGUUGCUACAUUAGUUGAGCACUCUGACGAAACCGCCUCGGAUAACUUGGGAGGAAGGUGGUGGAUGAUCGUUCAAUAGUCCUCAUGGCCUUAUGUCCAGGGCUACACACGUGACUACAAUGGCCGGUACAAACCGCUUGCAAAACCCGCGAGGGGAGCUAAUCGGAAAAAAGCCGGCCUAGUAGUCGGAUUGGAGUCUGCAACUCGACUCCAUGAAGCUGGAAUCGCUAGUAAUCGCAGAUCAGCAUGUCUGCGGUGAAUACGUUCCCGGGCCUUGUACAACACCGCCCGGUCACAUCACGCAAAGUGGGUUUGCACUAGAAGUCGGUGCAGCUAACCGCAAGGGAGCAGCCGCCCAAGGUGUAUUCAUGAUGGGGUGA